AUGAGGGUGUUUCCUGUUCAGACAAAAUGGCGAAGACUUACGACUAUCUUUUCAAACUUUUACUGAUUGGAGACUCCGGUGUAGGAAAAACGUGUUUAUUAUUCAGAUUUUCAGAAGAUGCCUUUAAUUCUACAUUUAUAUCAACGAUAGGAAUCGACUUCAAAAUUCGAACUAUCGAGCUUGAUGGUAAAAAGAUCAAGUUACAGAUAUGGGACACCGCCGGCCAGGAGCGGUUCCGUACCAUCACUACAGCAUACUACAGAGGGGCCAUGGGCAUUAUGCUGGUGUAUGACAUCACAAAUGAAAAGUCAUUUGAAAACAUACGAAAUUGGAUUCGUAACAUAGAAGAGCAUGCGUCGAAGGAUGUUGAGAAGAUGAUCUUGGGCAACAAGUGUGAUAUGAACGACAGACGACAGGUGUCGAAGGAGAAAGGCGAGCAGCUUGCUGUGGAACAUGGGAUCAAGUUCAUGGAGACGAGUGCGAAAGCCAGCAACAAUGUGGAGGAGGCGUUCUUCACACUAGCGCGAGAUAUUAAGCUCAAGAUGGACAGGAAAUCAGAUGCCUCAGGUCAAUCGAGCCGAGGAGGAGGCUACCAGUUAAAGAAGGAAAACACCCCCAAGAAGUCUUUCUGGAGGUGUACUAUUCUCUGAUUGGCAGACACCUGCCAUGUGAUUGAACUAGUUUUGUUACAGACUGAACUGAAGGCUAUCCGUGCAUAUAAUAUUGGCCUUUGUGUACUCAAUCGUAGGGUCAUAUGUCAUUGACACUGUUUGACCCUGGGUGGAAACUUGGUGCGUUUCUGCCACGAUGCAUAAAAUCAUGGACAUUUACGAACAGAGCACAGACCAAGCUGACAGAUCCCGUAGCCAGCGUCUCGUGCCUCGCUGACUCCUCCUGCUAUGUACUUCACUCUACUACUUUAAAUGUUAUGACGGUUGCUAUGGUUACUAUUCAAGAUGGCAGCCUGGACAGUGGUUUUUGACAGCUGCCAUUGUUGUACAAAAGUUGCUAUGAUUUUUUAUCAACAUCCAGGACGUGUCAUGAGUGUGUAUAUUUCUGCUUUUGAUAGUUCUGAAGCAUAUCUGACCCUGAUUGUUGAUCUCUGAGAAUAUUUUAAUCAUCCAUGCUUGAAACUGAAUGAGAACUGAAGAGGUCCUUGCCACCACUUUAUGUUAAGAGUGUAAAUUUAGACCAGAAUGAUAUACUAUAGAAAGAAGCAUCAGAGACUCCUGGAUUGGCUCUUUAUUGCAGAGUGGAAGGGUCAGAGGUUUUGAUAAAAAUAAAAAAUUAAAAAAGGCCCAACUCUGAUGUCUUUAGUGUUCGGUUUGAGCUCCCAAACAUAGUAAAAUUCUUUUCUGGACUUUCUCUGAACAGACAUUAUCCGAACUCUCUUUUAUUUGAUGAUAAAAUGUCAAAAAAAAUUCCAAGAGUAUCAUUUUUUUUAUCACCUUCCCCCUCAAAAAGACUAACCCUUCCUUGAUGACCUUAUGACCCACCCACCCUAUGACAAUGACUGUCGCCUCGAGGGAGGUCUGCGUAUUCCUUAUGUUAAUAUUCGUUUCCUGAUUUGCAGAGAAUUGUUCAGGGACCUGUCUGAUGUAUGCAAUACACCAUCUUUAAGUGAGUGUUGGUGGGGGCUAAAUAAAUUAUUGCAAUCUUUGUACAGAGUGUUCUAGAUUUCAUACUUCGCUACACAAUGAAUGUGAAACGAUCGUGCAAAAACAGUCAGUGGUAUUGUUGGGCUUAUGACCACAUAUACAAUGCAGUCAAGCUUAUUAAUCACCAGAAGCAAGUUUAUGGAAAACAGCCAUGCUCCAGCCUUUCUGAUUUCAGUGAGUGAGUUCAUGGUAACGUAGUUGACUUGUUUUAUUACCUUACUUGCCAAUCAAGCUUUGUAUCUGUGCAGAGUUAUGUCUCUUGUCAGUGCCAGGAUUCAGGUCUUUGAUUUCCCUCCCUAUAGCUUGCUCCUCGGUUGCUACGUAGUUGUAAGGGCCUUCAACCUUCUUUUUCUUGUCAUACAGCCAAAGUCUAUGGCCUCAGACCCCAUGUGAGCAGAUCUUGCUACAGAUUGUGUUGUUAGGUAACCUACCGCAGCCUAUUGGGCUAGCAAUCAUAAUGUUUCAGUUUUGUUUGCAUCAGAAACACCUCCAACAUGACAGCCAUGUGUGAAUGCAUCAUAUCCGAAUUGCAUAGAUCAAUGCUCAUGAUGUUGAUCACUGGAUUGUCUGGUCCAGACUUGAUUAUUUACAGACCGCCGGAGUAUAACUGGAAUAUUGCUGAGUGCGGCGUUAAACAAGCUAAACCAACCAACCAACCAACCAUAUGUGUAUGAUUAAAGCUGAAAUUUCCCUCAUAAUGCUUGCCCACUUUCUGACGCUACAUUUGUCGCAAUCAUUGUCAGGUUUUCAACAAUUAUUAGGUACAAGAUUAAUCUAGCUUCCCUGAUUAUGUUUGUUGCUUUUAGUUUUGAGGAUUACCACUGUAAGGUUUGUGUAUUCUACACCUCUACCAUGCAGAGUUACUUCCCUUGGUCAAACCAAGGCUACAGGCAUGUCGGUAUCCUACCCUUUCUGGUGUGUCUACCCAAGUGGAAAGCAUCUGAGACUUGCAUCAGUUUGGCCUUUCAUUAAGCUGACAGACAAUAUAACUGGCAUACUGUUAAAAGUGGCGUUAAACCCAACUCACUCACUCACUCACUAAUCUCCAUACUUGCAUACUGGUAGCUACAGAGAUGGCAGGCUGAAAAUAUGUUGAAAGUUAAAUCUAAAGUGUAUUUUUGGUUGAGCGCACUGAUAGGUUAUGUGUUUCUUAAUGCAAACCAUGUUUUGCUGCUUGAUUGCUAUUUUACUGUAUUUGGGCAGUUGCUGUAUAUAUAUAGAACGUUUAUAAUGUUAGAGAAAGAACAGAGAUUUGGGUCCUGGACAGAGUUACUUCCCUUCUUUGAAUAAGGUUGAGAUGAAUUAUAGCACAGAUAGCAUAGUAAAAUGAGAUGUUUGUUAAUAUUGUUUCGAGAACAGGAAAACAGAUAUCUAUGACAGCUUGUGGGUAGCAGGAGAUGACAUAUUAGAUGGCCUUGUGGUACCCUGUACUGGAUGGCCUUGUGGUACCCUGUACUGGAUGGCCUUGUGGUACCCUGUACUGGAUGACCUUGUGGUACCCUGUAUUGGAUGGCCUUGAGGUACCCUGUAUUGGAUGGUCUUGUGGUACCCUGUACUGGAUGGCCUUGUACCCUGUACUGGAUGGCCUUGUGGUACCCUCUACUUUAUGGCCCAGUGGGACCCUGUACUGUAUGGCAUUGGGGUACCUGGUACUGUAUGGCCUUGGGGUAUACUGUACUAUAUGGCCUUCUGCCCUGUACUGGAUGGCCUUAUACCCUGUACUGGAUGGCCUUGUGGUACCCGGUACUAUAUGGCCUUGUACCCUGUACUGGAUGGCCUUGUACCCUGUACAGGAUGGUCUUGUAUCCUUUACUGGAUGGCCUUGUACCCUUUACUGGAUGGACUUUUGGUACCCUGUACUGUAUGGCCUUAUACCCUGUACAGGAUGGCCUUGUACCCUGUACUGGAUAGCCUUGUGGUACCCUGUACUUGAUGGCCAUUAGGUACUCUAUACUAGUUGGCCUUGUACCCUGUACUUGAUGGCCUUGAGGUACUCUCUACUAGGUCGCCUUGUGUUAUCCUUUAAUGGAUGGCCUUGUGGUACCCUGUACUUGAUGGCCUUAGGUACCCUGUACUUGAUGGCCUUUUGGUACUCUCUACGAGAUCGCCUUUUGGUAUCCUGUACUGGAUGGCCUUUUGGUACUCUCUACGAGAUCGCCUUGUGGUACCCUGUACUGGAUGGCCUUAUACUUUUCAGUACUGUUCAGCAGUGUUUUCUCAGCUUGGUGGGUGCUCCACCAGGCUAAGUUAUUGUAAGGAACAAAAGCAUCAUUCUGUACAUAUAUGAGUUUUGCAAUAAGAUACUAUUGACUUGACAUUUUGUACAUAUUUUUUGACAUACUGAGAUGUAGCUAGAAUUAUAGGCUGGGCUUUGUUAUGUCUUUCAUCUUGACUGUUACACAACACGACAAUUCAGCCAGCUUGUCUCCCAGGGUGGGUGUAGGCAAUUCCACCUUAUUGCACAGUGGUUCAUUUUAGAGACAUGUUCGCAGAGAAAACUAGGCUGUUUUGCUGGGGUAUAUUUGAAAACUGUUUGAAUAUGAUAUUAAAAGACUUUAUCUCUGAAA
rnacentral:misc_RNA from 1 species